UAAGGAAAAAAAGAGAAGAUGAACAGCUACAAUUUUUAUUGAAGAAACCGACUGAUCGGUAUUACUCUCUUCCUACCCAAAUCUGUCAAUCAAUCGUGUUUAUCAUUGAACCCACCUCCUAGCUAAGCAGAGAUUUCCGGAAACAAUAUAGAUUAGGAAAGAAGAGAUUUGUAUGUGAACAACAAACAUUUAAUUUGUAAGGACAGUUAACAUGUAGUUUCGCAAUAUCACCAUUAAACGUGUUGAUCUUUGCAAGACGGAGCAAGCAAGUAACAAUUUGGUUCCCAGCUUGUUCACACGCAGACCACAUGGUAUCCGCAAAUCUUCCCCAUAAGAUCCAAAUACCAAUCAUCUGAUAGUGAAGGAGAACGGCUAAUGAUUGUGUUGUUUGUUAGGGACAUCUUAAAUGCAUGAUUUGUUGCCCUGUACUUUCCCAUGGAUUUAGUCAGCUGGAAAUUCUCGAUGAUUCUCCACUCUCCCGCAACAAUCAUACGGAAAAACUUGUUAAUCUGGUUUUUCUUUAUAGUUGCAUGGAUCAGAGUUCCCUAUUAAAAGGAAACAUAAUCAGUUAUUAUAUGUUUUGUAAACAUAAAUAAAUAGAAUGAGUAGUAUCUUUGUAAUAUACUUACAUCAACAUCAGCGAGUAUGACAAUCUUGACUUGGAUCUUCCAAGUCGUCUUGAAGGGCUUAAUGUCA